GGUAAAAUACGGAGGCAAGUGAGUAAUGGAUUACGUGUCUAAUUCGUGUACUUUUCGUAAAAUUUUUGAUUCAAAGCAGAGCUUCUGGCCUUUCUGUGGCAGGAGAACGGAAAUGCACACGCGUCCAGUCGUUGUUGUGUUGCAAGGACACGAGCGUGCAUUUUUUCGGCUGCCGGUUUUGUUUUACCAGAAUAAUUGGUUGCUUGGACGCGUUAGGCUAACGGCUACACAGUCGGCAAUUACAAACGGUUAAUGAAAGCUUCGUUUCAAUGAUUGCAACGCUGAUUUCGUCUUGAUAGAAAAAGCUGAAGUUUUAAAGGGAAAUUCAGAAAAAAACAAUGAAGUCACAGAACUCACUCGAUAUACCGUGUUUUGUGAGCUGAGUGGGUUGUGUUGCGCGUUUCAGUCUGUCGUUAACUAGCGUUAGUAUUGUGUGUGUGGCGCAGCCGACAACGAGUGUCGUGAGUCGUUGAAACGGCUUUUCGUUGCUUACUCAGUAGCACUCAAAUAUCCUGCCAGUUAUUUAAGCUGUGUAAUGGUGGGUGAAUAUAUUUUUUUUUUUUCUUGUAGCAAGCAAUAAAAUAUAACUUUCCGCUUAUAUAAAGCGUGUUGUUGUGUUGUCAGGUGUACACAAAUGUUUUUUAAGUGCUUUGUGGAAGUGUAGUUAAUUUUUUUUUUAGAAAAAUUUGCACUUCUGGCAUAAAGUUUUUGCAAAUGUCAAUUUUUAGUAAAGCAAACGGAAAAAAUUAUAAUAAUAAAUUGAAAGAAAAGUAAUUUGAAUCGCUAUUAUUGUGCCAAUCCAAGAUUUUUGGGUUAAAGGGCUUUACAUCCUUCUUAGUGCAUGUAUAUCCUACCACUUUGCAUGUGACGUUGCAAUCUGCUGAUGAAGUGACAAAAUAAAUCUGAAACAGAAGAUUUAUUUUAUGGAAUGAUUUAACGGUAUAAAGGAGUUGAAAAUAAGUGUAUAGUGAUUUCUUUGGCGCCGCGAUCUGAAGGUGUCGUUGGAAAGAGGAAGUCUUCCUGAUAAAAAAAUAUACCGGAUUAUAGGUACCGCAAACGCUUAGAUUAUUGUACUUAAAGUUAAAACAUCUCAAAACUUCUCAACAAGCUAUUUCACUACAUUUAAUACACUUUACGGAUAUUUUUUUCUUCAAAUUCAUUAUAUUAGUCUGUAAACAUUUAAAUAAAUUCACAUUAUACACUUUUUGCAGGUGUUUUAAAUAAGAAAUUUUUAAUUUAAAAAUUACUUUUUACACUCCUACUGGACAUCAUUUAUGUGCUAAGAAUUGUGAGGAAAUGGAACGCUAUCAUAUGAUCAUAAGGCAUUUCGCUGAAAUUCUUCUUUCUUUAUUUAGCAAUUUCAGUUCACAUAAUUUAAAUAUGCGCCUAUAGUAGAUGCCUAUGGAUUUUUCCUUAUUUGAAUUAAAUAAAUAAAUAAGAAAUAUUAUAUAAUAAUAUAACGUCGUAAAUUACUUAGAUUACCUCGAGUAUUGGCUCGACCAAGGUUAUUUUUUUAGUCCGAAGUCCGCCAACACAGAAAGGAGAAUUACGCGAAAGUACUUUAGUCACCACUGAUGUUGGUUGUCUUCUCCCACUAUAAUCUUCAAUGCGCGUAGCGAUUCACAAUUAAUGUCUUCAGUUGGCUCAAUUAUCUAAAUGAUCUUGAAGAUGGUUUUCACUUUACCUUCUGGUUUCCUCCUUUAGUGGUUUUCAUUAGGUACUAUUUGACGUGAAAUUUUGUCAGAAUAAUGAAAACGGUAGUCAAAUGGUGUCAAUUACGAUUGCUGGCAUAUUUGUCACGGUCAUAUAAAAUGAUAACCAAAUAAAAACACUCAAACUUCAAUUUGUGGCAACAUUAGAGAUUUAACUUUGAUUUGCCGCGAUGUUGGCAAUUUUGUUUAUUGCCGUUCGUAUGGCAGCUAAAAAGGAUAACGUAUUUUCAAAAAGUUUUUUGACGAUUUCGAGUUUUUUUCAGUUUCAGCAUCUAGUUCUAGAAGUUGACACCAGGGUAGGAAAAUGGAACUUCAUUUCUACUGAAUAUAGAGACAGAACCCUUCGAGAAGCUCAAUAACAUGAGGUGGCUGAAAUAUUAAAGAUGCCCCUAUCGGAGGUGGCAGCCAAAUGUAACAACUUUUGCUGCUCUUUACGCCCUUUAAUCGUAUAAGUUACACAAAAAGUGAACAAGGUGCUGAAAAAAUUAUAUCAUUGAAGAUUCUAGAGCCGACUUUGAGAGUUCGCUUCAUUCCACUUCCAAUCUAACAAAAGACAGUCCAUCGGCCUCAAGCUCUCCAACAACAUUGUUGGAGUCGGAAAUUAUAUCUGGGAUAUACUAUCAACGUCAUCCACAUCAUAUGGUAAUUAAGAAAAACGUCAAGUGCAAAAAGACGAUGAUAAGUAUACUCAAGUAGUAGUGAGUAACUAAAACUGAUGGUUGGGAUGAGUUAGGAAACUUUGUAUCGUCAAAUGGCCGAGAGUGGGCCCAAGAAUUUUCAUAAUUAGCAAAAGAUUUCAAGCGGGUCAUAUGUGAAUUGAUAUUCAACUGCUUAAAGAAAUUACUGAAAUAAGAGCAGUUGCACAAUUGUAUGUGUUAAUAAAACCUAAUUUUGCUGGUUUACUUUAUAGCUCCAUCAUACCGUUCAAAUUCGCAAAAUUUUUUUUCUAUGCUAGUCAAAUGAAAUGUACCAUAUCUUUUUUAUAAUUUUUUCAACGUGAGAAAGCAAAUUUUUAAAAUACUAUAUUCAUUGAUAAAUUGAAU